rnacentral:rRNA from 1 species
GAGUUUGAUCCUGGCUCAGGAUGAACGCUAGCGGCAGGCCUAAUACAUGCAAGUCGAGGGGCAUCGCGGGUAGCAAUACCUGGCGGCGACCGGCAAACGGGUGCGGAACACGUACGUAACCUUCCUUUAAGUGGGAGAUAGCCCGAAGAAAUUCGGAUUAAUACCCCAUAAGAUCAUAGAGUGGCAUCACUUAGUGAUUAAAGAAUUUCGCUUAAAGAUGGGCGUGCGGCUGAUUAGGUAGUUGGUGAGGUAACGGCUCACCAAGCCAACGAUCAGUAACUGGCGUGAGAGCGCGACCAGUCACACGGGCACUGAGACACGGGCCCGACUCCUACGGGAGGCAGCAGUAAGGAAUAUUGGUCAAUGGACGCAAGUCUGAACCAGCCAUGCCGCGUGAAGGAUGAAGGUCCUCUGGAUUGUAAACUUCUUUUAUAUGGGAAGAAACCACUUUUAUCUAAAGGUGUUGACGGUACCAUAGGAAUAAGCACCGGCUAACUCCGUG